CUUGAAGUUUAACGAGCUGAACAUCGAUAGGACGGGGCACGGAAUCGCACGGAAUACUCAGGAUACCAAACCGGGAAAUGGAAUCGCAAGAGGUACUCGACAGCAUUAAGGAAAAUGACUUCCACAGUGCUUUUGAAGCGUGGAAAAAUUAUGGGAUCACUGUAUACAUUCCCAAAGAUACUGUUUUGAAGGAGAUGGCACCAAAAAAUUGAGCUGAGUCAACUCCAGGGCCAUAGUGUG